UACGUAGGGGGCAAGCGUUGUCCGGAAUUAUUGGGCGUAAAGAGCUCGUAGGCGGUUUGUUGCGUCGGCUGUGAAAUCCCGAGGCUCAACCUCGGGUCUGCAGUCGAUACGAGCAAACUAGAGUGUUGCAGGGGAGACUGGAAUUCCUGGUGUAGCGGUGAAAUGCGCAGAUAUCAGGAGGAACACCGGUGGCGAAGGCGGAUCUCUGGGGCCUUACCUUGACGCUGAGGCGCGAAAGCUAGGGGAGCAAACAGG
rnacentral:rRNA from 1 species